rnacentral:rRNA from 1 species
CACUCCUACGGGAGGCAGCAGUGGGGAAUAUUGGACAAUGGGCGCAAGCCUGAUCCAGCCAUGCCGCGUGAGUGAUGAAGGCCCUAGGGUUGUAAAGCUCUUUCACCGGUGAAGAUAAUGACGGUAACCGGAGAAGAAGCCCCGGCUAACUUCGUGCCAGCAGCCGCGGUAAUACGAAGGGGGCUAGCGUUGUUCGGAUUUACUGGGCGUAAAGCGCACGUAGGCGGACUAUUAAGUCAGGGGUGAAAUCCCGGGGCUCAACCCCGGAACUGCCUUUGAUACUGGUAGUCUUGAGUUCGAGAGAGGUGAGUGGAAUUCCGAGUGUAGAGGUGAAAUUCGGAGAUAUUCGGAGGAACACCAGUGGCGAAGGCGGCUCACUGGCUCGAUACUGACGCUGAGGUGCGAAAGCGUGGGGAGCAAACAGGAUUAGAAACCCCUGUAGUCCAUG